GAUGAACGCUGGCGGCGUGCCUAAUACAUGCAAGUCGAGCGAACAGUCGAGGAUCUUGCUCCUCUGACGUUAGCGGCGGACGGGUGAGUAACACGUGGCUAACCUACCUAUAAGACAGGGCUAACUUCGGGACACCGGAACAAAUACCGGAUAAUAUAUUCAACCGCAUUGUUUAAUAGUGAAAGACGGUUUUGGUGACCCUUAUAUAUGGAUACGUGCUGGAUUAGCUAGUUGGUAAGGUAACGGCUUACCAAGGCAACGAGUGAUAGCCGACCAGAGAGGAUGGAAGGCCACCGUGGAACAGGGGCACGGGCCAGACUCCUACGGAGGGACGGAGUAGGGAAUCUUCGGCGAUAGGCGAGAGCCUGACGGAGCAACGCCGCGUGAGUGAUGAAGGACUUCGGAUCUUAAAGCACUGUUAUUAGGGAAUGACAAAUGUUUAAGGAACUAUACACGUAUUGACGGUACCUAAUCAGAGAGGCACGGCUAACUUCGUG
rnacentral:rRNA from 1 species